UUAGGAGUUAAGAGAUGGUUUUACUUGCCCUGACCUUAUUUUUUCUCUUGGUGCCACCAGUCACUGUCUGUAUUGACAAUUCUUAGGGCUGGUCUGAUGCUUGACCUCUGAAACUAUUUCACACUACCAUCCCCACCAGGCAAAAAAUAGGAGAUAAACCAGAGGUGUUGAGGGGCAAUAACCAAAAGAAAAAAAGGUAAGAGGCCGCAAAUUUUGACCAUGUGGAGGCAGCACACAAAGGUUGCUGAACUUCAACUCUUACCUGGUUGUCUCUCCUUAUGUUUUCUGUAAUGUUUCCGAUGUUUAACUGUAAGCCAUUGAGUCCCUUGCUGCAACCUUUAUUAGACAAGCUUUCCUUCUGUUUCUCAUCAACAGCAAUCUGGUAUCAGAGCAUGCAGUGAAACAGAGCUCGAGGAGAACAAAGGGAGCAGACAGCCCAGAAGCACCAGUGCCCAGAGACAUGGCCAGAGAGCCUGGCAGGGUGUCCUGCUGCUGCAGAGCAUGAAGUUGAGCCUCACUCCUAGAAAGCUGCACUUUAUCCUUCGUGGUAUCGUCAGCCCUCACUCACCUGGGAAAAUAUUCUCUUGCUAGAGAAAAACUGAUUCCUUACAUAUAUGGAAGAACCUAUGGCUAAACCACUAGAGACUGCAAAGGUUACUGGUUCACAAAACAGCAUAUCUGUCUUCCAAGUGAAACUUCCAUGAGAACACAAGCUACUCACAGGUCCUCAUGAGUGCAGUCCUUCCCUGAAGGAAACCCCCUCAACAUCUGCAGAAACAAUAACUAUUUCAGCAAGAAUGUUUGCUGUCUCUUGCAAAAUCUGCCCAAAACAGCUGAGAAGCAUUUUUAAAGGCUUGAAAGGGUUGCCAGGUGUCUUUUGCAUCUAAGAACAGGUAAGUAAGUUAGUGAAUCUCCCAUUUCAUAAAGGCCUCAUCAUUAGAGAGAUAAGAACUACAAUAAACAUUACAUGCAUGCUACAUGAAGGGAAGUUACAGGGUCCUGCUAACAGGUCUUGUCUUUUGUUUCCUUUCAAAAAUAUAGCACUUUGAGGUUAAAAGGCUUCCUGGUUUGAACUCUGGCUUCAGAAAUAUGUAAAGGUAUAAUUUUUAUUAGCCCAAAAAUCUUCUGAAAAUCCUUCAGCCGUCAUCUUGCUGUCCAGUAUUGUGUCUUUGGUUUCAGACAUGGAUAUUUGCUUGGUGUAACUGAGUUUGCAUUACUGUAAUACAAAUUACUUCAUCCAGGAAAGGAAGAAUAACACAGUUCAAGUACUGUGACUUUUUGUUUUAUCUUCACUCAUGCUUUAAUUUCCAUAUCAAUUUUAUAUUAUAGGAAGCCAGAGAUAGAAUUAGUGUCAAAAAAAAAAAAAAUACAGAAAGGAAAAAUUGCUGGAACAUGCAAGAUUCUCCAGAGUCAGCUCAUUCAGCCACUAUACUAAAUACAUUUGUACAAGGUUCUUUUUGUCCUAUCAUUUUAUAUCCUGAAGCUGUGAUUUAGUCAAAGAACAGAAAAGUACCACAUGCUAUAUUGGAUGUGUGUACAAAACACUCAUCUGUGCUUUUUCCGACGCUGUUACAUUGUCUUGUUCUCAGCCCACUGGACAACGCAUGGGGCUCAGAGACUGUUUUGUAUCUCUGCCAGCUGCCCUCUGUGUAGUGUUAGCACUCGUUCCCUCCUCCUUUACUGUUAUAACACAAGUGGCUCAUCUGCAACAGAAGUAGUGUGAAAAGAAAUAACAUCUGCAACAGUGGUGUGUCUCAGUAGCUACCCCUUAAAAGGACUCAUGGCUGGACCCUUCAGAAUGGUUCAGAUCAAUACUUCAAGUAGAUACAGUAACCCACUUCUUUAAGAGAGGCACAACAUGUAUUUUGAAAAGAAAUAAUUAAUGAAAUAUUAAGCAAGUGUUUUUAAAAAUAUGUUUGGACCUAGACUUCAUUGACUAUUGCUGUUAUUCUCUGUGGAGCUGCUGGUCUUCUUAAAGGGUAUCCUUGAAUUAAUAUAUAGCCAUAUGCAUAUAUAAUUAGGAGACUGCUGUGUGAAAUAUAGUUUUUUUUAAACAAUAACUUACUAUUGGCAUCAAUACCUGAUGCCAGAGAUACCAUUUGCUGUGUGGCUAAGCAUAAAGACCCAUAAGCAAGUAACCAUGGUUUAGAAGGAGAGGCCAGAAGUAAGGAUGAGAUUCAGCUCCAGAUUGUAGACACCUAUAUUAGGAAUCCGAAAGAGAUAUCCCCAUGCAAGCUGGGUGCUUAAGCACCCAUUCUAAUAAGAGGAGGAUCAGUGUUUUAUUUAGCUGUCUUUUUGUAAAUAUCUAACCAACAGAAAUUCCUUUAAGGUAUACAAAGUAUCAUCUUUGCACUGUCACAAGGGAAUCCUGUGCUCUUCUGUGCAUAAAUGAAAGUCAGGAAAGAUACCACAGGAUAAUUGAAACAGCACUAUGGGCCUAUAUGUAGACAAAUGAAACAGCGCUAGAUCUCCAAUGACUGUGUUAGGGGUUCAGACAUCCAGAUCACAGGUACACAUUACAAAAACAGGUAGUCCUCCAAAUUUUUGAAUUUGAAUGGAGUGAAUAAUCUGAGUGAAUAGUCUUUACUGAAUUUGAGGGGAGGUUACAAAGCCAUUUUAAAUAUAUGCCUAAAAAUCUGUAAAAAAUUGUUCCUGAAUUGUUUGACUUGUAAUAAGCAAGAUUUUAAUUAAUAGUAUAGUGAUCCAAAAUCUGAGACCACCAUCUGGCCUAAGAGUUGUGCAAGAGUGAUCCCUCUGGCCAAUGACAGAGCUCAGAGGGUCCAUUCAUGAAAGUCCUCAGCUUUUGUUCAGUGACUCCUUAAUGGACCUCUCAUAUUAGGUGACUUACUAGGCUGUUCUGGCUCAUAUAGGAAUAAGCCUGAGUACUUAUAAGGUUUCUUUGGUUUGGGUAAAAUGCAGUGCUCUCUUUUUUUCCAUCUCUUGUAAAUGCCCUGACUGCAGACCCUCCAGAAAAGCAAGCUCCUGAGAUACAAUUAUGUCCUGCAUGGUUCAUCAGUUGGUUGUUGUUUCCCAGAGCACAAGCCCUGUAGGCAGUCUGUUUAAAAGUUGAUUUUCCCAGAAACUGAGUAUUAGAAGAUUCUUACAUACUGACAAAGCUUUCACUCCCAACUGUGCAAGAGACUCAUGGACCUAGACAAAACAAUGAAACAUCUGAGUUUCUACCCGCACACUGUGUUCUUUGGAUUUAGGCCAGGUGCUUCAAGAUCUCUAUAAUUCCUCUUAUGCACGUCUUCUGUACAGUCCAUUUUUCUCCUCCCUGACUACUCCCCAGUGUAUAAAACCAAAUUCCCUGUCAGCUGGACCUGGUGAAUUGACUUCUGUGAGGUUUGGUUCACACACCCCUGGCACUUUUACAGUGGCAGCUGAGAAGACUUAUUUGUUGGAUCCCAAAGUAAAUCAACCUGCAAUCAGGGACAGUUACCCUAGUCAUAUUUCUAUGCAGUUUUUCAGAGGUUUAAAACUUGUUGUCUUUACCUCCUGAACUGUUUAAUCCCUUUCUCACUUGGUGUUACCAUGACAUUCUGACAUUUGUAUUGCUUAUUCAAAUGUAAGUUGUAUGCAAGGAGGUAGCCAAGAAAACAGACUAACACUUAGAAAGCAUACGUGAGGCAACAGGUACAAUUCAGUCGGUCCUUUGUUCCUAAUCUAGUAAUAUAUCUGCCCAUUGAAGAAUACUGUGUCAAAUCUGCAGUUUAGAGAAUCUUUCAGUAUUACACUGAUUUCAUCAAUGCAGUGGUGAUUUACACUAGCUGAGGCCUGGUUAUGUUCGGAUUUUUAAAAGUAGCUCAACGGACAAGGGUAGUGAAUGUAAAGGAUUCUCAAAUAAGCCCUAUUUGUGGUUCAUCCUAUUACAUAUCUCACUGGUGUCCAAAAUACUUGUGUGGUUCUCUUUGAGGGAAUAACUCUUCCAUUUCAAUUUUAGUUUCUUCAUCCUACCUGCUGUGUUAUGAUUUUUUUCCAGAAAAUUACCUUGCAGCAGAAGACCAUAGUAUCCUGGGUGAAACAGUCAAUGGGCAGAAACUGCAAUCUGGACAUUUUCAAGGGGAGAUCAAAUUACGCAGCUUGCUGUAGAGAGUGCAAACAAAUUUUAGUCUGGUCGGCGCUUAUCUAUUUUUGCAAGUACAUCACUUUGGAAAGCGACUUGCUCAGCUAAUCUAUAGCUGUCAUGGAAAUGUAAUUUUUUCUUCCUCCAAACCAAUAACGGGCACCUGGCAAGCUUGCUUGUGCACCCAUGCAUUCAAGUCUAGCUGUUUCCAUGGAAACUCAUCAAACUGUCGCACCAGUUUUGUAACGUGCUGCCACUUCACAAAUACAGGACAAGCUGUUUUGCACAAAAUUCCUGUAUAAUGUUAUUUUAUUUUCUCUCUGAAGGGAAUUAAUUAAGACUAUAUGUUUGCAGACUGCAAGAAUUGCUGCUCAUUCUGACUAAAUCAGCUCAUCUGUAUGAGACCAUGAAGGCUGAGGCUUUUACAAACUCACUGAAAAAUACAUUUUAAGCUAUUGAACUCCCCAUCAUUACAUGAGAAAAAUGAAAAUGUUCCUUUUAAAAUAUAAGUAUGUUUAUACCAUGAUUUCAUUAAUACACUGCCUAUGUCUUUGAUUCCUUCCUGGGAAGAUAUUUCAGUUCCAAACUCAAGAUGCCAGACAUAGUUGCCUCUUUUGAGGGACUCCCACGAUAACUUUUAACUUAAUUUGAUAAAUUUAUUCGAGGAGAUUAAGAAUAUGAUCUCUGUGAGAACAGGAGAUGGGACUCAGAGAUCCAAGAGGUCUUGUCCACUCUAUGGCUUAAGGCCCAUCUGGCGUCUAAAAAACACAAGACUUUGAUUACAAAUAAUUCAGAUUUCAAGAUGUAUCUUGUCAUACUCAACAAACAGGGUUUCAGAGAAGCUUCUGAAUCUCAGACAUACAAAGGAGUCUGGUAUUUAUUCCUCAAGACUAGCCAAACAUGGAGGUUUCAGAUAUGGUUCAACACAUAUAGUCCUCUUAGUUUUUUUUGUCUCAGUAAAGCACAUGGGAUGUACCCUUUCCCCCAUGCAACUCAACAUCUUUUUUUCAUUCAGCCAGUAGCAAGAUUUUCCAGUGAACAAAUAUCUUGAUAUGACCAUUUUUUGACUCACACAGUGCUCAUUUUUAAAAAUGAUUCCUGAAUCUUGGAAGCUGUCAGUUCCUAAAAGUGAGGAGUAUGUUAUGGGACUGGUUGUCUUUCUAAAAAUAUCUAGCCUUUUUCUGAAUUUGUUUCUUCCCUAUGCAAUAUUGUUUUAUUUAUGUCAGCAGUUAGCCUUCAUUUAAAUUGGAGAAGUAUUAAUCAUCCCGUGAAACAGCAAAGACUGGUUAAUGGUACGUGUGAGAUAAAGCUCAAAGAAAGGUCCAAGGAAAAGGACAAUUAUUUGGCAGGAGUCAUAGAAUUAAUGCACAGCAAAAUUUACAAGAACGCCUUUUCUAGUGAGUAUUUAUAAUGGAGAUCAGAUGGAAUUGGUAGCUAAAAAGGCAUAAAUGGGAUAAAUGUCCAUUUAUCAAGAAGCGUCUUUCAGCUGAGGAAACCUGAGACUGAUUAGUGCAUACUGUAAAAGAUCGAAUACACUUAAUAUUGGCUUGCCUAAUAGAAAUGUUUGUCUAUGCUAUUUAGCAUUAAUUUAAUGCUAAUGUGCCCAUUUAAUAACAAUUGAUAUUAAACAGUUUCCUAUUUAAUGUUAAUUGAAAAUCACUGCUUUCUAGUUCCAGAUAGUAUUUAAUGUCACUUGAAUUUGAACUAGUAAUAAAAAAGGCAUUUGUAUUUUGACCCAAAAACUUUACAGGAAACCUAAAAUACAAGAAGAACAGACCAGCCACCAGAACUGUAAAAUAUAAUUUUAUUGUGUUAUUGUUGAAAAAAUGACCAUCAAAACCCUAGAAAUAUAACUAAAUGCCACAAGCCACAAAGGAUUUACUGAGAUGAUUCUGCAGUGGCUGUAAACUGAGUUAUACACUUUUUCUGCUGUUGGUUUGGUUUGGGGUUUUUUUGUUUGUUUGUUCUUGUUCUUGUUUUUGGUGGGUUUUUUUUGUGUUUUUCUUUCUAGUUGAGCAUGAGCAAAAAGUGAUUGUAGUAAAGAACGGGAUUGUAGUUUGACCACCAUGUUUUCCAGAUUAAAACCUUAAUGGAUAUUCUGAUUUUCACUGGCCUGCCAACAAAAACUGAUAGCAUAACACCUUAAUUCCUUAAUUUGCAUUCCCCAUUUGUCUAAUUCUAUGAAUAUACACUCAAAAUAUGCCUCGUGGGUUCCAGACUGUCUACAAACUGUACAAAGAUCCUCAGAACCCAACAGCCUCUCCCUAUAGGUAUCUAUGAUACUCAACGCUCAGUGGUCUAGGACCUAAGCCUUUUGGAUCCAACAUCUAACUCUUUUUGGAAAUGAUAUUCUGUCUCUACUGCAGGUGUGUCACUUGUAUCACAUGGACUGUGUUCAGCCUGUUUAUAAAUUGUCUUUGUUCCCUCAUGCAUGUACAUGCACAAAAUAUAAAGAAUACAUAACACUUGAGGGUAGGUUCCUAAAGUGAAAUAUUUUCAUAUGCUAUGUUAAGUACAGUUGCAUUAUUAUUUAGAAGUGGGCUGCCAGUCUGGGUAUCUAAUCCGCUACUGAUGCCAGGGUCUUCUUACUGCCCUCAGUCUUGCUAUAUUUCUUUUCCACCAUUUUGUUCCGCAGGUUUUGUGACUUUGGCUUGACACAAGGUAUCAUGUUUUUGUUUCCCAUGCCUUGCCUGACUGGUUUAUUUCAAAAAGUACAAGGAGUCAAUUAUACUAUUGCCUAUUUUCUAAGUGCUGGAGAGAAGCUCUAAUUGCUUUCUGUCAGUUGACUAAAGCAUAGCUAUUUCCUAAGUCAUUUCUCCUCACCAGCAGAAUAGUCUCCCACUGAGAAUACUCCCUCCUUAUUGUGGAAACUUGUAUUUUGGUGGGUCAUAAUUAAUAACAGUGAUGUUAUUAAUCUUCACUGCAUUUUCUAACCUUUAAAGCAAAGAAAAGUAUAAUUUAUAAUGUUAAGGAAUAAAAUUACAUCCCACUCCUUCCCUGAGGGGAAAUAUGUUUCCUGCACGAUUUGCAAUUCUUUCUCACAGUGGAUAUAGCCUGUAGCAGGCUUUUAAAAGGAAAGUUAAUUGUAGAGGAGUGGGAGGCAAUACGGAUGGCAUUACAUUACUGUUUGCCUGAUUGCUCUUGCACAUAGAAAGCGCAGAAUGAAUUCAAGGAUAUGCUAAUAGUAAUGGGUCCAUUUUGGAUGGGAGCUAGACACAUCUAUUGUGAGCAUCACUGAUGGAUCAUUCUGUUUCUGAUUCUGCUGACACGCAAACUUCUGUAUAUCUGAAUCAGUACUGCACACAUUGAACUGUUGCUCUCCUAGUGCUUGCAUUGAUAAUUCAUCUUCUACACUAAAAUUUGACAAGCAUAAAAUUUUGAAAAGGUCAAGUUUGAGGUCUCUUGAGAUUAUUUUUGACCUCAGCUUUGACAGUGAAUGAAGGAAAUCACUAGCUGUGUGUGUCUUCUGAGUCCAUUAAGCAACUGAGGCCUGAAGUUGCUUUUAUUAGUGCAAUUAGUUAUGGCAACCUUUCCAUAGCUAAUGGAAGCCAUCACUGACAGUAGAGGCUUGGCAAAUGUGGAAAGACUUGUGUCACCACUGGGGCAGAAUAAAUCCAUGCAGUGAUCCACCGAGGUACUCUGUGGACAAAUAGGGGUUUUCCAAACUGGAAAUCUCAUUGUUUUGAAAUAGGGAGACCAUAUCCUGGUGAGAUCCUUGAUCUCUCAGCUAUUAACAUUGCAGAGGGAGACACUGAGGUUUUAAUGAGGUUUGUUAUAUGCUCUUCUUCUUGGUGACCUGAAAUCUCUGAAAGCUGAAUUGCUGGUUUGAUGACUGUGAUGUCUUAUCCCGGUAGAGCAGGAAAUUAAUCCCCACUUGAACAUUACUUUGCAGGGUCAGAUUGGAAGGUUCAAGCAAAUUUUCCAGAUCAACAUUUUCAUAAGAAGCUCCAUCUGUAAAGACAACUGUAGGGAAGGAGAUACUCGUCCAGAGGGGAAAUCUGUGGGCUCACCCUCCUUGUAUCUCUCUGCUAUUUGGAGAAAAUGCUCUCUCCCCUCUUUCCAGUGUGGUCUCUCUGUCACUCCACCUUCAUUCAAAAUUUUUUCCAAAGAUCUAUAUUUUACCAUUUCUACCAGCAACAAAUUACACUUGUGGUAGUCUUACACUAACAGGUAACUUACUCUCAGAGGAGCCACUGUCAGUGAUGGAGUUACUUAUGCAGUAAAGAUAUCAGUAUCUAUUUUUACAUGUGCACCAGAAUAAGGAAUUCCAACUAAUUUAAGCUUAGGAAAAAAUAUAAGGACUGCAUGUUAGGAAAUUAUCUUGCCUGGGAGAGUAACCACUCAGAAAUUAAUGGUAUAGAGGUGGAUUUGAGUCCUUUUUCCCAAUUUUACCUUUUUGAUUAUAGCCUUUAGGUGGUAGUUACAGAAAGAAAUGGAGGAAUGACUCUAGCAGGAAUACUGUGAACUGGGUAUUAAUGAAGAUGGAGCUCUGUGCUGUCCUCUUCUUCUGAGGGCAAGAGAGAAGGAGGUAGCAAAGACCACAAAAACAAGAGAGACAGCAUUUUAAUAGAUGGACAUAUUCUAAUUUAGCACAGGAGAACAGGAGAAACUGAGGUGAAAGCUGAGAUGCUGAAGAAGCAUAUAUAUUGCAAAGUAGUGUUAUAAUUGAUUGCUUUGUUGUUACAUAUUUGUAAACUUUUCCAUUUUAUUACAACCAUGUUUUAAGAGAAGUAUCCUGUCAUUCAAGUGAUAAAAAGUACUCCAAGUAAUUUGAUUUGUCACUGGGCAUUUCAUUCCUAGAGGUAUGGUGACCCUGAAAAACCCUCUGGCCUACCAGAAUAUUCUUUUUUCUCUCCAACGCUGGUCAAAUAAUAACUGGAUGCUCUUCUGCCUGGCUUGCAUGGGUUGAUUAGAGGAUCAGUGCAGCACAGGUGCCUGACACUUUCACCUAUGAAUAACAGAUGUCUUAUGCUUAUAUGUCCAGAGAGAAAAUGCAUCUGAACUGAUUGGCAAGCUUGCCAAAUCCAGGUAAUCUGAAAAUGUAUGAAGAUGAUUUUGAUAAUUUAUAGCUACUAAUGUAGACUUUGGCUAGAUCAAUACAAAUAUUUUUUAUCAAUACAAAAUUACAGAAUUUUGUGCAGUGGCUUGGUUUGGUUUUGUAAGUUUUGUUCUUUUUACUGAGUCUUGCUCUUAGGGAACAGAGUAGGGUUCACUUUCUUUAAAAUAAUUUCUCUCUUUUGUGAUUUGAUUGUCUGUUUUGUAAGUGAGUUAAAUCAUUUGCAAUGAAAAAGAAUAUGACAUGGUGUCCUGGUUUUGUUAAAACACAAGUUUCUCUUUUAGUGAAUUUGCCUGUCAGCUAAAGCCUUCAUAUUAGCUGCAUUUUCCUGGAGAACCAGAUACAUGUUUUGGUAAACAUAGCAAUGGAAUGCUAACUUAUUGAUACGGACAGAUUCACAUCUGGCGAGAGGGGCAACAAGAAACACGUGACCAGGAGACUGACCAACUGUAUAUAACAUUCCAUUCACGUGAAUACUUCAUAUAAAAGUGGGAGAUCACGAGGAUCUCGUCCCUUUCUGCCUUCUUUUUCCCUUUUGCUUAUGGCUGACAUUAGGAGAGGACCUUGCUAGUCGUCCCUGCGAACUGAGGCCUAGUGACAGACUGAAUCCAGCUCCGGUUGGCUGCAGAGUCCAAUCCAGGACUUUGGUUGCCAGUUCUGCAGUUGCUGAGACUUUCAAGAUUGGUUUUGUACAUUUUGUAUUAUUUUCUUUAUUCUUAUUAGUAGCAUUAGUAAAACAUUUUUAAUUUUUCCAACUGUCUUCUCUCUGUCCUUCUUUCCCUCCCGAUCGCCUGUCCUGAGUGGGAAGCGGGGAGAGGGAGGGGCAGAAGGGGGAAGUUGAAGGGAGAGGAGGUUAACAAUACAUCUGCCAGGGUUUUAUUGUCACCCCGCAAUCUAAACCCUCGACAGAUGGGAAAAAGAGAGCUGGAGCCAGAGCUGGUGUAGAACCGUAGGCUGGUCCACUUUUACUUUUUUUUUUUUUUUGCCAGAGAGUCAGAGAUCUUCCAGCCACAUUCUCGUGCUGCCAAAAAGGCUGGCUGUGUGUUCUAACUCUGCUCAUCUUCCUCAUGAUUCAUCAGUGCUGACUCCUCCUACAUACCUAGCUCCAUCACCUCACUCCUGGUACAGGGAAAUACCAAGCCUGCCUCUCAGCACACACUCUUCAGCACAGUUUUUGCAUGGCUAUCUAAGUAGUGAUUAAUUUUCAUGCUGUUGCAAGACUAGAGAUAAGGAGGAAAGACAAGAAACUUUGCUCAAAGAGAACUCAUUUCACUUCUAAAAGGGGAAAAAAAAAAGGUGCAUUGGUGUCCAUUGGAAAAAAGUAAGCUCAAGGCAAUUCAGAAAGUUGCUUGAGUUGCAGGCAAAGUGGUCCUAUUGUGUUCCCUACUCCAUUUCUGAUUUGGUUAUAUGGUAUGUCAAUUUAUUUAUUUUUUUUUUAUAAUUAUUUUUAAACUCACAGCCAGUUGACCUAAAUGACUUCAUCCUUAGAAAGAGGUUAUAAUUUAUUAUUAAUUGUCUUGUGUGCCAUGUAAACUGUCACAGUCAUAGGCAUUUGUGCCUUUUAUAAUAGCAUCUUAUGGCACACAGAUUAUAGUGAUAAACCUUUCAUACCUUCAAAGUCACAUCUUUGUUCUGUGUAUUGUCCUAAAAUCCUUUAGACUUCAUCGACACCGAAGGUGGCCUGUGAUUUGAAGAAAUAAAUGAAGGCAGGAAACAAGGACAGAGAUUGACUCUGACAGCAGGAAGAGAUAUGAUGCAAAGAAAAUAUCUCAUUUAGGGAAGAAAAAGAACCAAUUAUAUUUACUGAGAAAAAUCAACGAAACAAGCAGUCUCUUAGGAGGAUGACAGUGGACAAAUACACCUGUGAACUUCCUGAUUUGUGGGCGUGUGGAGAAAUGACUUGUGCUGUGCCAUUAAGAGUGAUGUAAAAGAUGACAGUGACAUAAAAAUAUGCAAAAGGAAGAUGACGAUUCAGAAUGUCAGCACAACAGCAAAAACCCUUCUGACCCCUGAGAAAAAUAGGCAAGUCUGUCUCUGUGGAAAAGUAAAAGUGCUAUACCAGAGUAAAGAUUUUCUGACUGAAGAAACUUUGUAAUCUUACAAAAACAUACUUGAAGAAAUACAACUGUCAGAAGGACUGCCUGUGGACUACUUUUGUUUCUGUCAUGCCAUGGAGCCCAUCCCUCUCGCUGAAGAUGCAGUUGUUAUGGGAACAGAUGUUAUUUAUUAGGCAAUCUAAGGCCAGAGGCAUUUCAAGGUGCUCGUAGCAGUGAAACAGAGGUUGGAUGGAUGAAGUCUGCAGACCAUGAGGAGGAGGCUUGCAGAAACAGAAGGGCAAGGAGAAGGGACAAAGACUGUGUGUCACCCUUAGGAUCAUGAAGCUCAAACGGGAGAAUUGAACAACAACAAAAUCAAUAUUUGAAAAAUUUAUUUGAACACUGGUGCCCUUUUUCACUCUUCACCUUCCUUCUCCCCAGCAGAAAAGGACCAAAAUAAAAAAGUUUCUGGAGCAAUGCAAAAACCUUGGGUCUGGGACCAUUAGCAAUCAAUUCCAUGAUGGGUCUGCCUCCAAAAUGUAGAGAUUCAAAUAAUCAAGCAGGAUUCAGAUGCUUAUCUCCAGGACACACAUAAGAAGUCUGUGAACAAAAAACAAAUACACUCCAGCAUCAGACAUCAGACAUCUCUGGCAUCUGCUCUUUCACCCAGCAGGCAGGUUCUCUUGUGCACUGCAUAUCCGGUCCUACUCAGCUCAGCUGACACUCUUCUAAUUCCAGAUUGAAUGCUUUGUUCCUUCUAAAGAAGGUGGCUGAAUCUUCCUUCCUUCCUUCCUUCCUUCCUUCCUUCCUUCCUUCUUUCCUUCCUUCCUUCCUUCCUUCCUUCCUUCCUUCCUUCCUUCCUUCCUUCCUUCCUUCCUUCCUUCUUUCCUUCCUUCCUUCCUUCCUCCCUCCCUUCCUCCCUUCCUCCCUCCCUUCCUCCCUUCCUCCCCCCCCCUUCCUUCCUUCCUUCCUCACUUCCUCCCUUCCUUCCUCCCUUCCUCCCUUCCUCACUUCCUCCCUUCCUUCCUCCCUUCCUUCCUCCCUCCCUUCCUUCCUCCUUCCCUUCCUCCUUCCCUUCCUCCCUUCCUCCCUUUCUCCCUUCCUUCCUUCCUUCCUUCCUCCCUCCCUCCCUCCCUUCCUUCCUUCCUUCCUUCCUUCCUUCCUUCCUUCCUUCCUUCCUUCCUUCCUUCCUUCCACCUGGACCCUAAUGCUUUUCUCCUAUUGUGUUGUCUUCGUUAUCUCCUUUUGUCCUCGUAUUUUUAUUCAAGGAUCUGUUAUAUCACUAACAGUGACAGCAGCUAUUCCAGAAAACACAAAAUGUGGUUAGGGUUAAUCACUAUUCGAACAACUAUUGUUCCUGCUUCCUUGAAAGGAACCUGUUUGCAACAGAUAAAGAAUUCAAAUCUCAUAAUGCCUGCAAAGUAUAAUCUCUCUCCAUGUGUAUAUGUAUGGAAUACAUAUUUGUAUUCUACUGUGGUUUUGUGAUUUCCUAUCAUUUUUGUUCUUCACUGAUAUAUUUCUUGAUAGUUGAUGUAUAUUGAAUUUUUUUCCUGUUUGUCUUCUUGUCAUGGUGUACACAAGGAUUAUGGACAUAACUGUGAAUAUUAGACAAAAAACAGUAAAUCCAACAUAAUCCAAAUUAUGCGGGAUAAUCAACAAUAACUGGUGUUUCUGUCAGAAAGUGCACACUUGUUGAAUGUGCAGUGUCUCCAGUGUCUCUUCCUCUGUAUUGUUUGGUUUGAGAUUCACAGAAUUAAUCUGAGCUCCCUCUGUAACUAACAGAGCUAUCUGUUAAUGAAAAAAAUGCACAGAUAAUAUUGGGUUAGAUUGCCUUCAUCUUCUCUGCAAACAUGCUACUUUUGUCCAGUCUUGUUUCAAGAAUGAAUUAAAUAUCAUACUGCUCGUGAAAACAGCAACCACUGGGAGGAUAUCACGGAAAUUUCAUGAAGUGAGUAAUGAAUUUUCAUAGAUCAGCAUUGGCAGUGGAAGCCUGACCUGGAGUGCACUGAGAGCAGGGGUCUCCUGUAUAGUCUACAUUACUCAUCCACACUCCACUUUCAGACUCAGAAAUCCCAUGGUAAAAUGCUCUGAAAAAAUCAAUAGUUCAAAAGCCCUGUGUAUGCCAAUGUCAAAACUUCUGUUGCUUUUAAUAUGUUCAGGACUUUUCUGCAAAAGAGGAAAAAAACAGGAUUUGUGUCUGAGGACUAGUCCAAGUUCAUAGUUUUAUUGGAUCUGGGAUUAUAUUAUUCUGUUCCCUGCUGUAAACUGCCCUGGGAUUGCUCUUCAUCACUUAGGAGAAGUCCAUCUCCAGUGUCUCUUUGUAAUACUCAGAGUGUCCAUCCAAGCUUUUCCUCCUAAAGGGCAACACUUCCCUUCCCUCCCCUUAGCACAGGGUCAUGCAAAGCUACCCAAAGGCUGUGACUCUUCCAAGACACUUGGUACACAUAACUGAUUGCAAGACAAACCUGCAAAGUGUAACAUUGGGUUGAGGGUUGGGACCUGAUGGGCUUCAGAGUAUCUCAGAGCUGUAGAUGCAGUCUGCUUUGCAGACUGUUCUCCAGGUGUGUUUACUGGACAGUGCUUUCCCACUUUCAAGCACCUGCUGCAGUUCACCCAAGACAUUCUGUUUAUGGCCAAAUGGAUCUCUAUGUAUAUAAUCAUUUUAAGUUCACAAAGUUACAUGGAACUAACAAAAAACACUUCGUAAAUGACAGAGGCUAGAGAAAGGAUUGUAACAAAGAGCAUAGUGAUAGUGUUAUGAACAGACACAAUAAGCAGCAGAACAGUUAAGGAAUAAAAUCUCAUCUUUGUCAUUCACCUGUUCUAUGGAGGACAUGUGGGUAACAGGCAUUCAUUUAUAAACUGAAAAUUAAAACUGAAGAAAUAGCUGCAGUGGGAUGGGAUGGGAUGGGAUGGGAUGGGAUGGGAUGGGAUGGGAUGGGAUGGGAUGGGAUGGGAUGGGGUGGGAUGGGAGAGGUUCUGGAAAAGAUGGGGACAUCAUACUGCAAACCAAAAGGUGGGAAAAGAAAUUACAUGACUGCCAUGGGCAAAUGUUUGUCUGAAUAAAACAAUAUAGAUCUAAAUCAUCACUUUUUACUCAGCUCUUGUUAUUUAGUCAAUAGGAGAAAAUAAUAAAUAAAUAUCAUGAAAACAAAUUGAAAUGUCCCACAUUUGCCCUCCCAUCCCCCAAAAAAUAAAUCAAUGUUAUUGUUUCUGUAGUUGAAACAUUAGACUUUUCUUUAGCUUCUUUAUGCCACUCCUGUGGUGUAAGGUAAUGCAAAAGCUGCCAGACAACUGAAUAUUUUCACCCUGCUGGAAAAUCUCUGGGUAGCUUAGACUUAACAUUUAAAAACACUUAAAAAUGUGAAUAACUUCAAGAUACCACAGGUGGCCACAUCUAAUAGUUUAACACAAAGAGCACUAAUUAAAGUCGUCUCUGUGUAAAAGGAGAGGCAAAAGGCAAUGCUAUAUAUAUAUAUGUAUGUUUCCUUCUCUAAAAAAAAAAAUCAAUGAAGUCUACAGGAAUUUUCUAAAAGAACUGCUGGAUGAAAGAUUGGUUCCUUCCGUUCAGUUACUGAACUCAUACAGAGUGGCAGAAGUGAUGCAGUGUUCUCAGGGACAACUGGGCUCUGCCUGCAAGACUGGAGGUAAGAACCACCACUGGGAGAAAUGUGGUGUUUCCUUCUUCAACUCAUGUUGCUUUCUGCCUUGAUUCUCUACUACCAUGGUGGUAGUGGCCGUUAUCCAGUGGGUAGUGACUUUGAAUACCUCCUCAUUUCACAUCAGCCACAAGACAGAAGGUAUGUCUAGGUAGGGCUGAUUUCUAAUUAAAAAAAUGCUUUUGUCUGGUGGCAUCUUGGAAAGUAGUAUGAGAGCAAACCAUAGGUGUGAGACUAUCAAUAGAGGACAUAUUAUUUGAUAACCUGAAGUAUGUGGCCUGUGAGGGAAGGCUGAGGGAAAUGGGCUUGUUUAGCCUGAAGAAAAGAUGGCUUUGGGGUUACCUGAUAGCACCCUGCCCAUACCUUCAGGGAAGUUACUGAGUAGAUGGGGCCAGUUUUUUAUAGUGGUAUGCAGUGGGAAGAUGAGAGAAAACACACAUAAGGGUUUGAUGGGAUUUAAAGAAAAAUUUUUUCACUAUGACUACAGGAAAGCAAUGCUCAGAGAUCUUGUACAGGCUUCAUCCUUGGAGAUUUUCAAGACACAACAAAUAGAACCCUGAGCAACCCGGUGCGAGCUCAACACUGACCUGGCUUUUAACAGGAAGUCGAGAGACCUCCUGAGGCUCCUACCACCUGAACUAUACUGUACUUCUGUGGUUAUGUGAUUCUAGAACAUGCCACGAAAUUUUCAGGUAUUAUGGACCAGAGAAGCAGGAACACACAUCCCUUUGUUUAAUAUGAAGUCAGAUAUUAUGAAAGCAACCCACAUCAUUGUGCAGAAUGGAGUUUGAGAGUCUGGCAAAAACAUCCUGGAGAGAUAAAGGAAUCAGCAUUAUGCAGAUCUUUGGCUUCUUACUCAGACACAACACAUACAAGUCAAGACUCCUGCCACAUCUGAUCUGCACUAGAAUUAACUGCCUCAGGAUUUGCCCAGGGGGAGUCACCAGCCUGUAGUCUACAGUGUGAGAUGUCUGCUGCUUCCCAGGAGCUGAAGCCAAAAGAUUGCCCCAGAGAAUCAGAAAAAUACCCCAUGUCUCCUGAUUUCCACAGCUCUGACCUGUUAAUGACCACCGGUUACCUUCUGCAACUAGUCUGAAAGAAAAGGACCUCAAGGAUGGAGGAAGAGCCCAUGGAGAGAGGUUUAAGGAGCACAGAUCAGAUUCUUACAGUUCUGCUCCACUUCCAGUGUUUUCCUGGUGCAA